rnacentral:rRNA from 1 species
UAAGGAAUAUUGGUCAAUGGACGCAAGUCUGAACCAGCCAUGCCGCGUGGAGGAUGAAGGUCCUCUGGAUUGUAAACUUCUUUUAUCUGGGACGAAACACUUCUUUUCUAAGAGGCCUGACGGUACCAGAUGAAUAAGCACCGGCUAACUCCGUGCCAGCAGCCGCGGUAAUACGGAGGGUGCAAGCGUUAUCCGGAUUCACUGGGUUUAAAGGGUGCGUAGGUGGGUAUGUAAGUCAGUGGUGAAAUCCCCGAGCUUAACUUGGGAACUGCCAUUGUGACUGCAAAGCUGGAGUGCGGCAGAGGGGGAUGGAAUUCCGCGUGUAGCAGUGAAAUGCGUAGAUAUGCGGAGGAACACCGAUGGCGAAGGCAAUCCCCUGGGCCUGCACUGACGCUCAUGCACGAAAGCGUGGGGAGCAAACA